rnacentral:rRNA from 1 species
CAGUCGCCGCGGUAAUACGUAGGGUGCGAGCGUUAAUCGGAAUUACUGGGCGUAAAGCGUGCGCAGGCGGUUCGUUAAGACAGAUGUGAAAUCCCCGGGCUUAACCUGGGAACUGCAUUUGUGACUGGCGAGCUAGAGUAUGGCAGAGGGGGGUAGAAUUCCACGUGCAGCAGUGAAAUGCGUAGAGAUGUGGAGGAAUACCGAUGGCGAAGGCAGCCCCCUGGGCCAAUACUGACGCUCAUGCGCGAAAGCGUGGGGAGCAAACAGGAUUAGAUACCCCGGUAGUCCCUGUCUCUUAUAC